AAAGACGAUAUCCAGAGCUGAGAUGGAGCAUUGAGAUGAGGGUCACGGCAGGACUAAAACCCAGCAAUCCUCCUCUGAUACACUUUAUGGUGUUCGAUUUUCCUGUUACUCAUGGUGCUGCUAGAGACGGUUAGAGACCCCGACAGGAACGAGUGGGCUAUUUUUGUGUUAAAAAGACAACUUCUGAAAAUGCGGGAAGCAAAUCUGAAUCAUGGAACAGGAUGAAGAGUUGUGACAAUUGCACUACCUCUGUAUUCAAGGACUCCAUAUAGGAUUUUGUGAAGCACUUCAGAAGCAACAUAAGGUAAGACUUGUUUACUAUGGAAAUGCAUGUAUUUUUAUUUAUAUAUUUAUUUACUUAUUUAUUGUUUUAGCCUUGGCUGGCUAUACAUCUAUUUAUUACAAGUCUUACACAGAGCUGUGUUUUGCACCUGAUACAUAAUGUCAGCCUCAGCUUACAUGUUUGUCAUGAUUAAAUUAUAUAAACUGAAGUCUAUAUAAAAUUAAAAAUCUACACUGUGAUUGUUUGAAAAUUUAUAUCUGUACUUACCAGUAGAUGCAGUUAGUUUUCUGAAACGGAUUCCUUUUUAGGUUAAAAAUAACUGAAGUCUUAUUCAUUGCUCUGCUGAGACUCCUCCUGCACAGAGAUUCAACUCCUGCACACACACACCCUGAAUUUGUAUGUGCAGCUGGCAGCUCUGCUUGCCUCAGGUCAGGUCAUGCCCAACAACAACCCCUGCUACAUCACCAGCUGAGCCAAAACCCACAGUCAGUGAGAGCCAAAGGCAGCUGGUGACCAGAAUUGACCGUAGGUGACUUCUACUUUUAAACAUAACAGGAUCUGGACUAGAAGUUUAGCAUUUCAUUUUUAGAUGGAAGAUGGCUAUUUUAAAGGCUAUUUUUUUCAUCCAUCCAUUAUCUGUAGCCGCUUAUCCUGUUCUACAGGGUCGCAGGCAAGCUGGAGCCUAUCCCAGCUGACUAUGGGUGAGAGACAGGGUACACCCUGGACAAGUUGCCAGGUUAUCGCAGGGCUGACACAGAGACAAACAACCAUUCACAUUCACACCUACGGUCAAUUUAGAGCCACCAACAGACCCGUUGCAACAAGGUAGGCAGACUUGGCAAUUGCCUAGGGCCCCAGCCCUCGAAGGGCCCCCGCUGCCGAACGACUGGUUAUGUAUUCAAUAACAAUGACAACUUUUUGAGCGCGGCAGCGCAGCACCUAAUGACACUUGUUGAAAUACCCUAGUUCCAAGGGGGGCCCCCUAAUGCACAACAGCGCCUCCCUACAUGCUUUGGCCGAAAAGUGCAAUGACAGUCUGUUGUCAACCCCUCAAUGCCCAUCUCCGUCCAGUCAAGUGGUUGCAGAGCUCCGCGGCAAAAAAACAAAAAUCAAAUAUGAAGCGAAAUUACCCCUCAGGGAGCCAGAAGAGAAAGAAGAAAAGGGAAGAGGAAGACAGAAAAAAAACAAGACACUGGUAAGUGAGAAUGUACACACUCAUUAAUACCAAGCGGGUCGACAAGCAAAUUUGGUAGCUAGCUUACGUUAAUGGUAGUUAUCUUGUAGACAGUGUUUAUAACAGUGAUGUAAACGUUGUCAUGCACAACAGGCUUACAAACUUGCAAGGACUGGCUAAAAAUUCUAAUAUGUGCCACACAAAUAGGUGAAAGACUGUCAACUUCUCCCAGAUUAACUUGUGUUUAUCAAAAUGUCAUAGUCAGAGUUAGUUUCAGCAAGCUGCAUGGCUUUCAUCAGAAGUAGCUAGUGUGUCGUGAGCAUGAAUGGAGUAGGACAGGGGAUGGCUCACAAGAAAGCUCUUUUUUACAUAAAUAGCCUAUUUAUGUAAAAAAGUGGCACUGAUGUCAAUUGAAUGUGAUGUCCGCAGGUCUUUGGACAUGGAGGGUAUUGUGGCUGCCUUUGCUGAAGCCAAAGCCCGCAAGCAGCAGUUUUAGACAUUUUGCCCAUGGUUCUAGUUGUGUGUUCUUAAAUUUUUGUGUGUUUUUCUAUACCUUUUGCACUUGUGUGUGUGCUGGUUCUUAUUAAGAUUCUUAUUCAUGUUUGUAAUCAUUUAAUCACCAUUUGAAGUUAUUUCUACUUGUGUAU